AGAAUCAACGCUGGCGGCGUGCCUAACACAUGCAAGUCGAACGAGAAAGUGGAGCAAUCCAUGAGUAAAGUGGCGCACGGGUGAGUAACACGUGACUAACCUACCCUUGAGUGGGGAAUAACUGAGGGAAACCUUAGCUAAUACCGCAUAAUACCUACGGGUCAAAGGAGCAAUUCGCUUAAGGAGGGGGUCGCGGCAGAUUAGCUAGUUGGCGGGUAAUGGCCCACCAAGGCAGUGAUCUGUA
rnacentral:rRNA from 1 species